rnacentral:rRNA from 1 species
UACGGGGGGAGCAAGCGUUGUUCGGAUUUACUGGGCGUAAAGGGCGCGUAGGCGGUCAGCACAAGUCAGUUGUGAAAUCUCCGGGCUUAACUCGGAAAGGUCAACUGAUACUGUGCGACUAGAGUGCAGAAGGGGCAACUGGAAUUCUCGGUGUAGCGGUGAAAUGCGUAGAUAUCGAGAGGAACACCUGCGGCGAAGGCGGGUAGCUGGGCCGACACUGACGCUGAGGAGCGAAAGCGUGGGGGAGCGAACAGG